GAUGAACGCUGGCGACGUGCCUAAUGCAUGCAAGUCGGACGCAGAACCUUCGGUACCUGAGUGGCGGACGGCUGAGGAACUCGUGGGUAUCUGCCUGGCAGCGGGGGAUAACGGGCCGACAGGUCCGCUAAGCCCGCCUACGUUCCCUCUUUGGAGGGAAGAAAGCAGCAAUGCGCUGCAAGGGGAGCCUGCGGCCCAUCAGAUAGUGGGCGGGGUAAUGGCCCACCAAGUCGCUGACCGCUCCCUGGUCUGAGAGGACGACCAGUGAGACUUGGACUGCGACACGGUCCAGACUCCUACGGGAGGCAGCAGCACGGGAUUGACGGCAAUGGGCGCUAGGCUGACUGGGCAACGUCGGGUGGAGGAGGAGGGCUGUCGGGUUGUAAACGCCUUUUGGGGGGGAGGAUUGUGAUGGUAACCCUUGAAUAAGCCCCGGCUAACUCCGUG
rnacentral:rRNA from 1 species